CUACGGGGGGCACCAGUGAGGAAUAUUGGUCAAUGGGCGCGAGCCUGAACCAGCCAUCCCGCGUGCAGGAUGACGGCCCUAUGGGUUGUAAACUGCUUUUCUAUGCCAAGAAACCCUGUUACGAGUAACAGGUUGCCGGUAGCAUAGGAAUAAGCAUCGGCUAACUCCGUGCCAGCAGCCGCGGUAAUACGGAGGAUGCAAGCGUUAUCCGGAUUCAUUGGGUUGAAAGGGUGCGCAGGUGGGCUUGUAAGUCAGUGGUGAAAUGCUGCCGCUUAACGGUAGAACUGCCAUUGAUACUGCGAGUCUUGAGUAUGGUUGAGGUAGGCGGAAUGUGUUGUGUAGCGGUGAAAUGCAUAGAUAUGACACAGAACGCCAAUUGCGAAGGCAGCUUACUAAGCCAUUACUGACGCUGAGGCACGAAAGCGUGGGGAGCGAACAGGAUUAGAUACCCGUGUAGUC
rnacentral:rRNA from 1 species